AAUUCAUAAUUUUAGUCCUCAAAAUCUAAGAAAAAGAAGAAGGGGUUCACUCACCAAGAACCCGUGUAAACAAAGCUUUCGCUGGUUUAUUAGGUCGGACCACACCAGAGCNUUUCGGUUUUUUCGGUUUUUUUUUUGGAUUAAUUCGAUUUUUCGGUUCGGUUCGGUUUUAACUAUGAAAAUUUCGGUUAAUUCGGUUCGGUUAUUCGGUUAAUUCGGUUCGGUUCGAUUUUUUUUUUUGCAAACCAAAUUAAAAUAUGAUUUGGUUUAAUUUUAGCAAAAAUCGAACCAUAUAACCGAAUGCACACCCCUAGUGAAGACUAAAAAGGCGCAAUGGAGCCUGAAAAAGUGUAAGUGAGCCUGGACAGGCGUAGUUGAGCUCGAGCAGGCGUAAUUGAGCCUUAAAAAAUGUAUUUAAGCCUGGACAGUCGUAACAGAGCCUAAGACUAUGUUUAUCAGCAACCACCCAACCAUCCAACCAUCCAACCAUCUUCAAUAUUUAAUUAAUUUCUCUCUCUUCAACAUCACUAAUAUUCAUUCCAACCCAACCACCUCUCUUGUUGUUGAUUUAUCAAUGACCACCCCAACCACCCAACUACAACAUUAUAUACAAUUAUUUUAUUAUUAUUUUUAAUCGUAAUAGUUUUAGUAAUAUUAAGUAUAAAUUAAACUAGAAAAAUAACAAAUUAAUAAAAAUUCAAAAAGAAUGAACAAAAAAUAUUUUGGAAAUAUGUUGAAUGUACAAAUUAAUUCUUUUGGAAAUAAUUUUAUGUAGAGGAAAAAUAAGAGAAUUUAAAUGUAUGUUAAAAUAUAGCAAGAGUGGUCUCUAUUUGUAGAGAAUAAAAAAAUAUAAAUUUUGAUAUUUUUAAUUUAAUUUUUUAAUAUUUUAUGUAAAAGAUAUGAUAAUUUUAUAUAAUAAUUUAAAUUAAAUCUACAAAGCCAAUAGAAUGGAGACAAGUGUCUCAUUCUCAUUGAUAGAAAUAUAGAAGAGAGAGAGAGACCACAUGGUCUCAUUUUUCUUGUGGUCGACCCAGGGUGGUUUCACAAUUGUCAUUUUUUAAUUUUUUUUUAUUUGCUUUGCUGAUGUGGCGGUCGACCAUGGCAAUUUUUUUUGGCCGAUAAAGAUGGUCUAAAAAGGCAUGAAUGAGUAUGGUCAGGCGUAAUGGAGCCUGGUCAGAUAUAAUUGAGCGUAAAAAGGCAUGUUUGAGCCUUUUUGCUCAAAUAUAAUUUCAUAAAUAUAAUUGAGCGUAAAAAGGCGUAAUGAUAGAAUUAUAAUUUCAUAAAUAUAAUCAAAUAUCGUGUAAAUAAUAAUUUUGCUCAAAAGAUGAGAUAUAACAUUUCUUAAUCAUGCUUAAAUGCUUUGACAAGAUCAUGUAGUGGUAAAUUUCAGCUCUGCGAAAUACCUGAAUCACCAUUGUUUUAGUGUGUUGCCUUAAUUUGUCAUAUAAUUUUCGCCAUGUUCGUCAGAACUCCUUCACAUGUCUGCAUCUUUCUUGAUUUUCGCUUUAUACCACUUAUUCAUUUGCGCUGCAUGAAUGGUGCUAGUGACUAUAUUAGUGCAAAUAACCAAUAGUGUCAUAUACUUGUGCUGAUACAAUGUCUUGUCUUAUAUAGAUGUGUGCAGUCAUAUGACCAUUUUGAACACUACCCUGUAGGGUUUAAAUUCUCCAUUUAGGGUUUAAAUUUAUCAUUCAGGGUUUACAUUCUCCAUUUAAGGCUUAGAUUCCUCAUUUAGAGUUUAAUCAUCAAAUGAUACUUUUGGCACUAAUGUUACCAUUUGUGCCAAAAGUACCAAUUUACUUGAUUUUUUUUAUUGUUGUUGGUACUUUUUGCACUAAUAUUGUCAUUUGUGCCAAAAGUACUUAGGUUUUUUUUUUUAAUUUUUUUUUNCUGUUGGUACUUUUGGCAUAAAUGAUAAUAUUAAUGCCAAAAGUACAAAAAAAAAAUCAAAGUAAAUUGGUACUUUUGACACUAAUAGUGUUAAGUGUACCUAACUCGCGCGCAAACCCGAAUCCGAUCCGCCCUAAUUAAAAGCAAAACAAUCCUAAAACAUAAAAAAAAAUGUCAAAAUUUAUACUUCGUAAUUUUUAGAUGGGUAGCCAAAUAUUAAAUUUCAUUGUUCAAUAUGAUUAUCUCACAAGUUCACUAAUUUCUUGUAUCGUAUCCUCCACCACCGUAUGUUCGAACCAAGAUUCUUGAUAUUGUACAAUCAGGGGCCGUUUGAUUUGCAGUUUAGGAUUGAUUAGGAUUAAAAUUAUCUUGAUAAAUUAGUGUGGAUUAGUGGGGAUUUAUAUUAUUUCAUGGGUGUUUGAUAUCAUGGCUACUUAAUCCUAUAUUAUGUUUGAUAUCCAUAGGAUUAUGUUGGAUUAUAUUAUCUAAUACCAAAACUAUCCUCACAUAAUUUUAAAAAUAUCAUGUGUGUCCACCAUUACUUGGGCAUUUGCAUCGAUAUGCGUGAGGAAGGGUAGCAGAAUUUUUAUCCAACUUCUCAGUAUUAAAUUUAUCCGAGAGAGGGGGGGUGGGCGGAUUAUUAGUAUGGGUUAAUCCCACAAAAUAGCAUGGAGAAGCAGUGACGUAGCUAGAGGGGGGGGGCAGUGGGGGCACUGGGCCCCACUGAAAAUUUUAAAAAUAUUAGGGGUAUUUUAGUAAUUUUAUAUUUAAUAUUAAAUAAAUACAUAAAUAUUAGUAUUAUUUUUAGUAAUAAUUCCAAUUUCUCUCUACUCAAUCGUAUAUGAGAUACAUUAUCGAAUGAUUGUCUAAUAUCUUACAUCAGAAACGAUGAAUUUGUAAAUAUAUGUACUAAUGAAACAUGAAAAUUAAAUAGAAGAGAAAUUUUAUGAUGGUAGAAAUUUUAUUUUUAUUUUUGUAAUAUAUUUGUUUAAUAUAUGUGUAGCGAUUUCAAAACAUGAAAAUUAAAUAGAAGAGAAAUUUUAUGAUGGUAGAAUAUUUAUUUUUAUUUUUGUAAUAUUAUGGUGCAACUAAUGUAGCAUUAUGAUUUUAUUGAAAUUGCUAAUAUUCGGAGUCUUUUAUAAUAUUAUGAUUAUUACUUUCUUCGUCUCAGCUAAGUUGAUCAACUUAUUUUCGACAGAAAAUUUAAGAACUUAGUAUUUUAAGUCUCUUUGGUAAUAAAGUGAAAUAAGUGAUUAUUUUUUUUUUUAUAUAUAUAUAUUUAUUUCAGAUAAGAAAAUUGAUCAUCUUAAUUGAGAUAGGUAAAAAAAAAAAAUUACGAAGUUAGUUGGAACCAAGAGAGUAUUUGGCCCCCCCUGACUGAAAAAUCUGGCUACGUCACUAUGGAGAAGUAGGAUUAAGUAGGAGUUGACCAUAUUAACUGCACAUGAUAUCAAACAUCACACUAAUCUGUAUUAAUUUAAUUUAUCCUACCUAUAAACCCAUAUCAAACAGGCCCUCAAUUAAUUACAAAACCAGAAGUACACACAUUCUUUUACAUUAAAAAAAAAAAUUGAAAUGCAAAAAAUUUGAUCACUUUUGAUCGUUUUGAGCAAAGCGCAAGACAUCUUUGGCCAUGGAAGAAAAGGAACGCGCUGUAUCCUGCAUCUCCGUUGUUUUCAAGCUGAUUCCCUGCCCACAUCAUAACAUUAACAAAUCACUCAACUUAAUUACUUUAAUAUUUUAAUUUUAAUGAAUAUUCAACUAGUGUUACCUGCAACUUUUUCAAGUUCUCACUCAGCUUGGCCUUGGCCGCAUUUGCAGCACCCGACUCCUGCAUUUAGGUUACAAAAUCAGAUCCUUCUUCACAUCUAACUAUAGCUGUUUUUUUUAUGAGUCAACUCAACUCCACUCACAGAUGAAGCAUAGCCAUAUUUUUUCUUAAUCUGAUCAACAGCAGCACCACUUUUCUCCUCCUCAUUAACACCUGCUGCUUUCUCACUCUUCACCUUUGUAUGUUUCAAUUUGCCUGACAUCACAAAAAUGAAACCACUCCUAAACUCUUGUAACUACCACUAAUUUUCACUGGAUCACACUUACCUUUAAUUGCUUGAAAUGUAUUUGUAAUAUUCUGUCUAUUUAGCCCUGCCAUCACUCUCGCUCUCUCUUUCGGCUCUUCGAUCUCGAUGUCAUCUAAGCCACGGACAAAACAGAAAGCUUAGACUUGCAAAACAACAAUAAAAAACCAAAGAAGCAAAUACCUAUAUCCAACUCCUCAUUCAUAAUCUUCUUCUCCUCGGUUUCAAUCUCCGUUGCAAAGUUGGACGUCGAAAAUAUGGUACACAGUUCUUCAAUACUUUGUCUGCAAUCUUCGGUUUCCACCUCAUGCCCGCUCCUCGAUUUUGAACUCUUAUUGUCUUUUAUCACAGAGGCAAAUAUGCCCUGUCAAAACACAUCAGUUGAACAAAAUGAAAAGUUGGACCAGACAGACACAAUCAAUAUGAUGGACGACGGUGUUCUAUCUAGCAAACGACGUACCUUCUUCUUCUCUUUCACGGGCGGUGUAUAGAUGAGCCCUUGAGCAUUUACAAGGUUUUUCUUUAGAACCAUGGAGACCGAGUCCACGAAUCUGUGAUGGAAUAAGUCAAUAGCGACGCACAAUUUUAAUUUCCUUAUACAAAACCAAAGAUCACAAAAGCAGAAUAGGGAACUAGAUCAUAUGUGAGAGCUAUCUACCUAUAAGCCUCAUGAAGCAAAGUUGAGACGAAAACUAACUCCUGAUUGCCGUUAACCUGGUUCAGAGUAAAUACAAGUAUGUUAGCAGUCUUUUUAAGGUAACUGUUGAGCGAUAAAAGUAAUGCUGAAGACUUACAAUGAUGAGUUCGCCAUCAAGGGAUGACGACACUACAAUGUCAGAAACGGAGAAAGGUCUAGAAGUCGAAAAUGUGAGCACUCUUAUUGAACUUUCUUUCACAAGAGACAAUUCUGGCAGGGAUCUGAAGUUUCACAUGAACACAAGUAAGAAUCAGGUUAAGCCAAAUUCAAUCAUUCAACAAAUUGGAAACAUUUAGUAUGGCAGAAUAAAGGUAAGCAAGCAAGGAAAUAUCACCUAAUCUCGAUUUUUCCACUGGCAAAAAGAAGUAUAAGUCCGACAUCUGGAGAGCCAAACGUUGAUGCCGAGUAACAAGGGGAACUGAAUUUCUUUUUGUACAUCACUUUCUUGACACCCUGUAGAUACGUACGGGCAUUGUAAGAGCAGCUUUAGUCAACCUUUCUGAAUAUGUUACGUUGAUUACAUGACAGCCGGAUACGCGCAUACCUGGGCUAAAUGCAAUAAGGAAAAUGCAUACACUGAUUUCUCAGUGCAUAGCAAUAGAAAUGAUUGCUUCAGAGUUGAGUUGUCGGAACUAAUGCUGUUGACGUCUAUAGCAUCAGGCAUGCUAGAUCCUCUGUAAGAGCAAUCUAGAAAAUCGAAAUUCAUUAUUUUAGUCCUCAAAAUCUAAGAAAAAGAAGAAGAAGGGGUUCACUCACCAAGAACCCGUGUAAACAAAGCUUUCGCCGGUUUAUUAGGUCGGACCACACCAGAGCUUAGUGUAUUUCCCGUAUCCCUCUCGAGUGUAAAAAGAGAUGAAUCUUUUGUUGCCACAAUUAUAACAUCUUUCUCAAAGCCAUGGAAGCUGCAAGUUUCAAAAUGC
rnacentral:lncRNA from 1 species